AUUCCUUUAAUAUGAAGGAGAGCUAUGGCAAGAAAGACUGACUUUUAAUAUCUAAAAAUAAUUUGGGAUCAUUGACACAAUUUUGUAAAAGAUCUAUCGUACUGAUUUAUCUCCACAGUUCAGUCAAGUAUCACUCUGAGCUCCGAUGUGUCAUUGUGAGUGUUGGAAUCGAAGCAAUGACAACCACAACCAAUCGUCUACCAACUACACCAGUGACAACAACCAUCAUCACUACAACAACCACACCAGCAACAACAACUACUCCAUCCACAACAUCCCUACCAACUGAAACAUCCAGCACUACACCGGCUACGACAUCCGCACAGACGACAGCCCCCACUCCCUCGACGACUGCAACCAAUACCACACCGGCUACGGCAUCCGCACAGACAACAGCCGCCACUCCCUCGACGACUGCAACCAAUACCACACCGGCUACGGCAUCCGCACAGACAACAGCCCCCACUCACUCGACGACUGCAACCAAUACCACACCGGCUACGGCAUCCGCACAGACAACAGCCCCCACUCCCUCGACGACUGCAACCAGCACUACGCCGGCUACGACAACCGCAAAAAUGACAGCAAACAUUCCCUCAACAACUACCCCACUAACUGCAACCAGCACUAAACCAACUAAAAAUGUUUCUUCUGCAUCAACUACACCACUAUCCACUACACCAGACAUUUUAAACACAAUUGUUGUAGCUCUGAGAAUGAGACUUUCGUCUUCGUCUCCACUGUCUGAGGAUGACAUCAGGAGCACCCUCAUACAACAGAUAAGAGAUGAACUGGUGAGAAGAGGGCUGCCAUCAGACAUGACUGUAAGCCUCGUCAGAAGUGUGUAAUCAACAUGUACAACCACAGCGCCCCCUGUUGAUUCAACGUGGAACUAUAUCAACCCCUGCAUGGGCAUUCCGUUCUCAUUUGAGUCAAAUUGACAACGGCAAUGUCAGCACUUUUACUUUCCCUGUUAAACAAACAUAAGAAUAAAUCCUGCAAGAUGAAUUUUAUUGAUCCUUGUGGAAAAAAUAUGGCACAGGUUAUGAAAUAUAUCUUCCAGAUUAGCCAGAAAAUCUGGUCAUUAUAUUGAAUAUUUAAAAAUGUUUAUUGGUCGUUGUAGUGCGUUUUUAAAUGUUUU